rnacentral:rRNA from 1 species
UAGGCACCAGAACAGACUACGUUAAGCACCCUAAUACAAAAGACAAAACUAACUAGACCCUGUCCUAAUGCCUUUGGUUGGGGCGACCGCGGGGAAACAAAAAACCCCCACGUGGACUAAGAGCACCCCCACUCUUACAACCAAGGGCCACAGCCCUAAGUAACAGAACCUCUGACCCUAAAUGAUCCGGUAGAACCGAUCAACGAACCGAGUUACCCUAGGGAUAACAGCGCAAUCCCCUUCUAGAGUCCAUAUCGACAAGGGGGUUUACGACCUCGAUGUUGGAUCAGGACAUCCUAUUGGUGCAGCCGCUAUUAAG